UCUGGGUUCCCCAGGGAUGCUGAGUUGCCCCCCUGGGCCUUAGUCCUGGCUGUCCUGCAGGGACGCUUCCCCUCCCACUUCUCUCAGCAUUGGGAAGCUCCUGAGCCCCAGUCCUGCUCCCCAGAAGCAGCGGGUGAUGGCCAAUGUCAGGAGGGCCUGAGCUCCCAGCCGGGCUCAGAGUAAUGCUAUUUACAUUCCCGGCUUGUUGGUAGGGUCACACGAGAAAGUUCUUGUAAAGUGCUCAGCCCAGUGUCUAGCACGUGUGAGUAGGCGCUUAAUAAAUGCUUCUUUUCCUCCUUCCGGGUUACCAAGCUGCCUGGCCACACUCCCACGACUACUCAGUAUUCCUUUGCUCUGUGUCCCAUAUACCCAGAGAAUCUGAGGUUGCUUUGAUGUUUGUGCCCCAACACUGGGCACAGGACCUUGAACAUUAGUAAAUGUUUAUUUGAUUGAUAAAUAUUGUAGAAGAGGAGGAAGAGAAGAACUGUGAUUUAGGGAGAAAGCUAACAGCCACAGAAACCGAGCCAGGUAAAGGAGAACCCUCCAGCUGUAUUUUAUUCCCUUCUUAGCUAGCACCAACUGGAGGAGCAAGACCCAUUCUGUCUUUGAGCAGCCGCUCCGCCAUCUUCUCGACAAGAUCUUGAGCUGCUCCAUGAUUGUGGCCCUUAUCCCUUCCCCUGGAUCCCUUUUUGCUACUACCCGUCAGUGAUGGACCCUGUAAAGACCCCACUGGGGCUGGAGCUGCUGCUGGCCCAAGCAGCCUCCCUUGUGGCUCCAGCAUGGCUCCUUUGUCUCACUUGGGCUCUUCAAAGACCGCGGACCCGGACUGGAGGUGCCACAUGUUCACCUCCAGAUUAACGUCUGCAGUGAUGUCUAAAUGAUCCGGCUGAAUGCCUGUCCUGUUGGAAAAGCCACGCCAGGGGAGUCUUCCAGAACGGCCGGCUCCAUUUCUUGAGUGCCUUGGAAGGGCUCAGGUGGGGCACUUAUGGUUCCUGUCUGUGCUGUGACAUCUGGACUCUGGCUCCAGUUUGAGCUCCGAUGGACGGCGUCUGAAGCUCCUGCUGGUCUCGGAAAGGCAUCUGAAAGCCACAAAGAACAAGACUGAUUCUCCUCCUUUUUAAGACCUUUUCUUUAACGGACAGUAUCCUGAUGGGUUGUUAUUUUUCUUAGAUAAAGACAAAUUGUUGCUUGAAAUAGUGUGGUAUCCCAAAGAUGCUCUUGAAUAAAAUUAACGUACCUAUAAUGA